GGAUGUGAGGCUGGCUGCAACAUCUGUCACCCCAUUGAUUGCCAAGGUUGAUUCCGCAGAUGUGGCUAUCUAGGCGGUUGUCCCCUUCCUCCCUCACCGCUCCAUAUGUGUCCCUCUGAAGCUAUGUGCUUGAUUGAAGAGGACAGCCUUCCCUGAAUAGAGACUGACUGCGUCUUUCAUCGAGGGUACAGGAGUAGCUGCGCUCCCCUGCUAGAACCUCCAAACAAGCUGUCAUGAGUAUAGCCAUCAGGACCCGGGCUUUUUUUCUUGGGUAGGCUUUUGAUUACUGUUUCAACUUCUUUACUAGUGAUUGGCCUGUUAA
ensembl:misc_RNA 7SK 7SK RNA